rnacentral:rRNA from 1 species
UACGUAGGGGGCUAGCGUUGUCCGGAAUCAUUGGGCGUAAAGAGCGUGUAGGCGGCCCGGUAAGUCGGAUGUGAAAUCUCGGAGCUUAACUCCGAAACUGCAUUCGAUACUGCCGUGCUUGAGGACUGGAGAGGAGACUGGAAUUUACGGUGUAGCGGUGGAAAUGCGUAGAUAUCGUAAGGAAGACCAGUGGCGAAGGCGGGUCUCUGGACAGUUCCUGACGCUGAGGCACGAAGGCCAGGGGAGCAAACGGG